rnacentral:tRNA from 1 species
GGGGUUGUUGCUCAGUGGUAGAGCACUUGCCUAGCAUGUGUGAGGUACUGAGUUCGAUUCUCAGCACCGCA